rnacentral:rRNA from 1 species
AGGGAAUCUUCCGCAAUGGACGAAAGUCUGACGGAGCAACGCCGCGUGAGUGAUGAAGGCUUUCGGGUCGUAAAACUCUGUUGUUAGGGAAGAACAAGUACGAGAGUAACUGCUCGUACCUUGACGGUACCUAACCAGAAAGCCACGGCUAACUACGUGCCAGCAGCCGCGGUAAUACGUAGGUGGCAAGCGUUAUCCGGAAUUAUUGGGCGUAAAGCGCGCGCAGGCGGUUUCUUAAGUCUGAUGUGAAAGCCCACGGCUCAACCGUGGAGGGUCAUUGGAAACUGGGGAACUUGAGUGCAGAAGAGAAAAGCGGAAUUCCACGUGUAGCGGUGAAAUGCGUAGAGAUGUGGAGGAACACCAGUGGCGAAGGCGGCUUUUUGGUCUGUAACUGACGCUGAGGCGCGAAAGCGUGGGGAGCAAAC